UUCAACUUCUUCAUUUUCUCCAUAGCUUGUUCCCCAGAGACUGGUGGGAAGGAGUUUGGAAACAUCUGUGAUUGUCAGAAUGGAGGAACCUGUGAUCCUCUGACUGGGAGGUGCCAGUGCCCCCCUGGGGUGCAUGGGAAAACCUGUGAACACGGAUGCCCAAAAGGACUCUUCGGGAAGAACUGCAAAAGGAAAUGUAGCUGCGCCAACAAUGGCCAUUGCCACAGGGUGUACGGUGCCUGCGUGUGUGAUCCAGGGCGCUAUGGGAGGUUUUGUCAUCUGAACUGUCCCAAGGGGACCUACGGAGCUGGCUGCUCCUCAGAAUGCCAGUGUGUGGAGGACAACACCCUGGAAUGCAGCGCCAAAAAUGGCAGUUGCACCUGCAAAUCUGGUUACCAAGGCAACAGAUGCC